UGAUUAAACAACUUUUUUUUAUUAACAACGCUUAUACAUUUUAUUACCAAACAGGUAAACUACUUUUAUAAAACAACAAUUUUAAAACAGCAACAGCAGAAUAUAAUAGUAAUACCAAACAGACCCUAAGUAGAGUGACAUCCUCGAGGGGUCUUUAUAGGGAAGUUGAGAACUAACAUAGGCAAUUCACAAGAUCAUUCACAGACCAUCGCCCAAUUUACUGGUAGAGAAUGAUUAAAUCUUCCUAGGCUCAACAAACACAGAUGUUGUCAUUGGAGGCACGGUGAAGCAUCCUGAUGAUGCUUCGUAUGUAGAUUUCUUCACGACUUCGUCACUUGACAUAGCCUGAACAGGAUGUAGCUGAAAAUAUCUUGGCCGCAGUGCAGGGCUGGCAAAUGAUACCUUAGUUGGACAAGUGUUGAAUAUAACCACAAUGUACGAGUAGAUGGGAUCCAGUUGAGAUAACCCAGGUAAACCUUCAUGACCAUCUUCAAUGCUCAUCACUAUGACACCAGGGACCCAUGAAGGCCCGGUAUUAUGAAACCGUACCCGUUCCUGGAUAGCAUUAGCCGUUGUCAAACGGAAAAGUGGAGAAGAAUAUCGAAUUUGUAAUACAUCUAAAAAAUUCUCAACAGCAGCAAGGAUGUGAUGUUUUUGAGGCUUGAAGGAUUCAUCUGCUAAUCUUGGUUUUAUUAAUGGCCAGUGCCUUUCAUUUUUCUCCUUUGGUGGGAGGCCAACACCCCAAUUGCUAGAAUUGUAAGAGAAGUCUAGCCUGGAAAGGUACUAGUAAGCAUUAAUCUAUGAGAAAACCAAGGCCUGUUCAAGUGAAACUCUACCCACAACCAUAGUAAGCAUUAGGAUUGGAAAUUAUUAAUCUAAAAUAUUAUCUUGUAGCAAUAUGAACAGCAGAAAUUUGAUAAUUGUUACAGCCAAUCAAAGUUACCAUUCAUUCAAAAACUUCGAAUCAAAUUAAUAAAUUACAAAAGCAACUUGGAAUAAGAACAAUAGGAGACCUGUUGAACCAAUCUCCAGAGUUGUAUGAAUCACGAUCAAGUGAUUUUGAACGUAGCAUCUCAUCACCAGCAUGAAAAAAAGGUAUUCCCUGUGACAUUGCUAUUAUACUUGUUGCCAAAUGAUUUAAUCUGCAUCUCUCAUCAACAGAAAUUUUCAUCGGAGUCUUCAUGCACACAAUAUCAAACAAAGUUUCAUUGUCAUGAGCAGAAACAUAAUUAAUUGUUUCUAUAGGGCAUAAAGCAUAUGCAACAGGUGCUCCACCAUUCAUCAAAAUUUCUGAUCCUUUCACCUCUUUCCCUUCACUAUUGACUAGAACAAAAUCCCUCAAAUUUGCAGCCAUCCCAGCCUGGAUGUGAUCCUUUGCUAUUGUAAGCAUGAGUUCUUCAACGGCUUUUCCUCCAUGGUCAUGACCAUUAGGCUGCAACAUUAGACCAGUCACAAAUCCUUGCUGAAGAGGAUGGCCAAAAGGGGAUCCACCAAGCAUUGCAUCACGUAUUCGAUCAUUAAAACUCCCAAUUCCAGUUCCACCAAGAUUGAACUGCGAAGCAUUUAUUCCACGACCAUUUUUAGCAACUUCACCAAAGUCCCAACCUUCACCAUAUAUAUAGAUACUUGAACCAUCAACUCCAUUUCUUUCAUUUGUUAGGCUGAGUAGCGCAUCUUUUGCUUUCAUCAUUGUACUUUUCAUUAUAUGGCCCAUAAGGUCAAACCGGAAUCCAUCAACCUUGUAGUUAACUGCCCAGCUCAAAAGAUCAUCAAUAAUCAAGCGCUCAACCAUAUAAUGCUCACUGGCAGUGUUAUUCACACAUGUACUAUUUUCAAUAAAUCCGUCAUUGUUCCUUCUCAGAUAAUAACCUGGAACAACCUUAUCAAGAACAGAAUUCUCAUCAAAAGGCCCACUUCCAUGCAAAUGAUUGUAGACAACAUCCAACACAACCCGAAGACCAAUGUGGUUAAGUGCCUGAACCAUCUUUCUGAACUCAAUGGUGCGGCAAGGACCAUUUGGAUUGCUUGCAUAACUUCCUUUAGGGACCCCCCAGAGAACAGGAUUGUACCCCCAAUUAUACCCAUCAUCAUUUUGGAUUGCAGUAAUAUGAGCUUGUUGCUCAACUGAAUCCGGUGGUAAUUUUUCUAGCAUGUUGUUAUCCACAGACUUCCAGUUCUCCCUAACAUCGUCAACGCCAGCAAAUUGAAAGGUUGGCAGCAAAUGGACAUGAGUAAUGCCAGCAUUUGAUAAUUUCUUUAGAUGAAGUACACUUGCCGAAUCCUCCAGAGUGAAGGCCAGAUAACCACCCCGAAGGUCAGGACGCACUGUGUGAUCAUUAGCACUAAAAUCCCUUAUAUGCAACUCAUAAAUACUUAUGUCAGAGAAAGAAUGUAAAGUGGGUUUUUCAUUGGCUAAUAUAUCCCAUCCUUCAGGUUUUAAAGUAUCAGAAUCAAGAUUCACCAAUAAUGUCCUCUUGCCAUCUGAUGAGAGCCCUCUGGCAUAUGGAUCAUUUGCAAAGCAUUUUUCAAUGCGUAAGCUGCAUGGAUGGUAGACAGAUACUUCAUACACAUAAUAACAACCUUCCCAAUCUGUUGGCCCUUUAAUGCUCCAAACUCCAUUAACCUCCACGAGCUGAACAAUUUCCAUAGGAUCGCUGCUGAAUGGAUCCCUAUAAAUGCAAACCUGAACUGCUUGAGCAGUGGGAGCCCAAAGAUGGAGUGAUACAGCAUCUGUGGAAAAAUCUGCACCAAGUGGACCAUCGUAUGAAAACAAAUCAUCCAAAAUACCGGGUAACUGCAGACCAGUAGCAUUGCUACACUUCCCACCACCACAGUUAAAUGCUGCAACUGCUAAUUGGCAUUUGAGAAGAGAUUUGGCAUCAACAGAAGAAGGCACUUUGAAAGCUUUGUAACCCCGAAUAUGAGGAAAUUUCGCAACUACUUUUUCUGAAAGGCCACCUUCAUCUUCCUCAAGCUUAAAUUUCACAUCAUAGCCUUGUAUGCCAGAAUCAGUAACAGACAAUGCAGCAAUCUGACUAGCAUAUAAAAAGCAAGAACCAUCAACUCCAACAUCUACAUUCCAAGCAAUUAUAGAUUUUGUAACCCAGAAGGCCCUCGAGUACAACAAGCUGUCCUGCAACUGAGAAGUGGGAAUGGAAACUUGUUGAAGAGGCAUAGAGGAGGAGGAGGAAGAAGAACAACAGCGAAUUGGGUAUCUAUGAGAAGUAGUAAAACGGAAGGGAAAAGAAAGGUGGUGGCCAUGAUUUUGUCUCAGAUUUAAACGACGUCGUAAAGAAGAUGGUGAAGAAAAAGUGGAAUAGCGAACAUUGGAAAUUGAUGGUGGCGAUUUGAAAACUACCAGAGAGUGAGACAUUGUUAAAGCUCUCUCUGUUCUGCUCUUUGGAAGAGAGACGGGUGAUGUUAUUUACAACGUUCACAGAGCCAAUGAGCUUUGCCUUCGAAUUCGAAUCUCA
rnacentral:misc_RNA from 1 species